UACGUAGGGUCCGAGCGUUGUCCGGAAUUAUUGGGCGUAAAGGCUUGUAGGCGGUUCGUCACGUCGGGAGUGAAAACUCGGGGCUUAACCCCGAGCCUGCUUCCGAUACGGGCAGACUAGAGGUAGGCAGGGGAGAGCGGAACUCCUGGUGUAGCGGUGGAAUGCGCAGAUAUCAGGAAGAACACCGGUGGCGAAGGCGGCUCUCUGGCCUACCUGACGCUGAGGAGCGAAAGCGUGGGUAGCGAACAGG
rnacentral:rRNA from 1 species